GUAUAGACCCGCCUAAAUCCG
rnacentral:siRNA from 1 species